GAAUAAACCUCAUUUCAUUUCAAAUAGCUAAAGUAGGAUAACAAUCCAACGGGGCUUCUGAACAAAGAACAUCCAACAAAAGUUGGGGAGGGCUAGAGGUCCAGUUUAGAGGGAGGGACUGACGGAGUUGGGCUUUGGCGACCCAAUCCGCAGCUUUAUUUUGCCCUCUGAAACAGUGAGUUAAACUUAAAUUUGGCAAAGAAGAGAGUGCGGCCUGGCCUUUCUUGAUAAGUACAGUGACUUCCCACGGUUCUUGAUCUGCUCCCAGAAGUGUCUGAACUAAAGUGAGACAGUCAGACUCCACAGUUAACACACGUGUGCCCUUUUCCUUCUCCCCACUCGGAGGCGAACUUCGAACCUCAAUUACUGCUAGGGUUUCAGCAUGCAGUGCUGAUUGCGCCUUCACCUCUCGGGUGAACCCACCCAUCAACACUCCGGAGGCGUCUCUGCACACUCCGGGGAUCGCUCCAAUAGAAGUCCCGGCAACGAAAGCACCAUCAACGUUGAUUUUAAGCAAACCCAAAGCCGGCGGAAUCCAUUUGAAGGUUGAGUUUUGAUCUUCUGCUGAGUUAACCUUCUGAUUCGAGCACCAAGAUUUAAAAAUUUUCAUGCUUUACAAGUGUUUCGGACACAACUCCCCGUGGAUCUGGCAUUUUAGCUCGGAAAAUGGCUGCGUUCCUCUCUUUCCAAAUGAACCAGAGCACUUCAGCCAUUACCUCAAGGUUAGGUGUAUCGGGCAAGUCACUCUUGUAGUUUAGAAGCCAUCGAUCUAUACUGGUGAGACCUUCUCUCUGUAUCCGUAUGCGUAGAUUUUGGUCUGACCAUACUUCAGUUGUCCAGGGACAGAGUAGGAACAAGUGUUCUGCUGUUUCUGGGCUCGUUCUGCACAAAGAGCACAUCGGGUCAGGUUCCAGACUUUGCUGCUGUCCAUACUAUUCUGUCUUCCUCUCCGGUGGAUGGGAUGGGGAUCGCCAGUAUUUCAUUAGCGAUUCUAUCUUCAAACAUGUUUUGGAUUGUUUCUUCCUUCCAUGAGUAGUUGUGUUUGUCUAUCAACUCGGUAACAAGGAUGAUACAAAUGUUGGAGAAGGAAGAAGCGUGGAUUUAUAGGGGCGUGAGAUUAAUGAACUAUUGUUAGAGAUGGGGUUUACAAUUUGAUUUAAUUACUUGGAUUAUUCAAAGACCAGAGAUGAUAUGGUUUUGUAAUAACAUUUUGUUGUGCGUAGCUUACAACUUUUUAUAAUUCUAUGGCAUUUCUAAUCUUUUUUACUUAUGGAGAAAACAAAGAGAUUGCCAUUUUAGAGUUUAAAGAGAUAGUUGAAGUAGUUUUAAUAUCUCGGUUAUGUCUAUAUUUCCUACCAUAUCUUAAGUUAAAACUUAAUUCCACAACAUUACAAAGAACAAUUCAAAAUUGGUUGUAGUUUACUAAGAAAUCAUACCUAAGGUGGUAAUCUAUGUGUAAUCAUGGAGUAUCCUUUAUUUUUUAGUCAGCAAGACUAAUUCGUAUACGAAAAAGAAAGAAAGAGAAUACAAACAAAGUUUUUUUUUCUUAAUUUAUUCCUUGAUAUCUAGUAAGUUAGGAAGGCAAAGUACAUAUAAGUGGGACAUAGGUCAAAGAGAAUUUUAUUAGAGGGAGAAGCCCAAUCGAUGAAUGGGAGUUGUUAGAGGAUGAAUCCCGCUGGCAUGACCACUCCGUCCCGACGGAGCAAUUGUGGCCACCGGUUUUUCAAGUCAAAUACCAGAAAGCAAGCAAACAGAAAUUCUCCGGAGCUGGCUUGUAGGAAGGCAAGAAUCAUUACGGAUACUACGAAAAGUUUGAUUGCCAAGUCCAUAUUCAUAACCUUCAUGUUUUUGUGUUGAAAUAUGAAUGCAGUGGAGCACAAUGGAGCGACCUAUUUAAUGAGGAUUAAGAUGCUACAUUUGGUAAGACAGAAGAAAGAAACAUAUGUGAGGACUGAGGACUGUAUACCUAUUCAAGCAUUAGGAUGACAAAUAUGAAGGCAACAUACAUAUUUAGUAACUUAUUUAUUAAAAUAUCUAUAUUUGUAUCUGUAUCUAUAUUCAAGCAUUAGGAAAAUGUAGUAACUUUGUAUUAAAAUUUUUAUAUUUGGAAUUUUUUUUCUUGACAUCUAUAUUUGUAUCUAUAUCUACGUACUUUCAAUUUAUUAUAUGGAAAGAAGCUUUUUAAU